rnacentral:rRNA from 1 species
AGUGAACGCUGGCGGCGUGCUUAACACAUGCAAGUCGAGCGAAGUGGCAGCUGUAGCAAUACAGUAUGUGCUUAGCGGCAGACGGGUGAGUAACACGUAGAUAACUUUCCUCUAAGCGGGGGAGUAGCUUGCCGAAAGGACGAGGUAAUAACCGCGUAUAAUCAUGGUUCGGCAUCGGACUUUGUAUGAAACAAUCCGCAAGGAUGGCUAAGAGAGAGAUCUGCGGCCUAUCAGCUAGUUGGUGGGGUAACGG